UACGUAGGAUGCAAGCGUUGUCCGGAUUUAUUGGGCGUAAAGCGAACGUAGGCGGCUUCUUAAGUUUGGUCUUAAAGACCGGGGCUCAACCCCGGGAAUGGACUGAAUACUGGGAGGCUAGAGGAUGUCAGAGGAAAGUGGAAUUCCUAGUGUAGCGGUGAAAUGCGUAGAUAUCGGGAGGAACACCAGUGGCGAAGGCGGCUUCCUGGCCUGUUCUUGACGCUGAGGCGCGAAAGCUAGGGGAGCAAACGGG
rnacentral:rRNA from 1 species